rnacentral:rRNA from 1 species
GGGGGGGGGGGGGGGGGGGGCUGGCGGGGGGAGGGGGGGGGGGGGGGGGGGGCUUGCGGCUGGAUUCAGCGGCGGACGGGUGAGUGAUGGCUAGGAAUCUGCCUGGUGGUGGGGGAUGAGGUCGGGAAGCGGGCGCUAAUACCGCAUACGGCCUGAGGGAGAACGGGGGGGAUCUUCGGACCUCACGCGAUCAGGUGAGGCUAGGUCGGAUUAGCUAGUUGGUGGGGUAAAGGCCUACCAAGGCGACGAUCCGUAACUGGUCUGAGAGGAUGAUCAGUCACACUGGAACUGAGACACGGUCCAGACUCCUACGGGAGGCAGCAGUGGGGAAUAUUGGACAAUGGGCGAAAGCCUGAUCCAGCCAUGCCGCGUGUGUGAAGAAGGUCUUCGGAUUGUAAAGCACUUUAAGUUGGGAGGAAGGGCAGUAAGUUAAUACCUUGCUGUUUUGACGUUACCAACAGAAUAAGCACCGGCUAACUUCGUG